rnacentral:rRNA from 1 species
UACGUAGGGGGCUAGCGUUGUCCGGAAUCAUUGGGCGUAAAGCGCGUGUAGGCGGCCCGGUAAGUCCGCUGUGAAAGUCGGGGGCUCAACCCUCGGAUGCCGGUGGAUACUGUCGGGCUCGAGUACGGAAGAGGCGAGUGGAAUUCCUGGUGUAGCGGUGAAAUGCGCAGAUAUCAGGAGGAACACCAAUUGCAAAGGCAGCUCGCUGGGACGUAACUGACGCUGAGACGCGAAAGCGUGGGGAGCAAACAGG